AAUGAGAAACCUUUUCUUUAACCUUUGGGCUCUUCUGUGCAUUAUUUCUCUUUUGGGAACGCUACGAGAUAGUAGACAAGGAUGCGUUCUUGCUGGGGGUCCUAUGACUGGUCCGAAGACUCGUCCAGUCAGAUCGGCACCACCUGUGAGGCCCCCUCCGCCUCCUCCAACCCCUCGACCACGCCUAACUCCUCCGCCAAAACGUCCGAGACUCUAAUAAACAAGAUAUAUGAAGAGGCACCUCAAUCUGGCAGCAGCAGCAGCAUCAACGAAAUUGAAUAACAGUUUUAAAAGAAGCCUAAAGUGAACGGGACAUAAAUAUAAGGCACCGAAUGGGCAGACACACUCAGGUGGACGUUCACGAAGCCAACCAAACUUUAAGGCACCGAGUGGGCAGACACACUCAAGUAGACGUUCACGAAGCCCGGAAGACCCGGAGAAGAGAAAACGGCGGCUGGAAAGAAUUAGCAGAAUAAUGUGAUGACGACUACCCCGACUCUUCUCUGGCUUGGUGCUGCACCAUCAUGUUCGUUAUAAACACGCUGACAAUAAAUGUUUUGCUUUA